rnacentral:misc_RNA from 1 species
GUGAAUCAUCGAAUUUUUGAACGCAAAUUGCACUCUCUUCGGAGAGUAUGCCUGUUUGAGGGUCAGCCUAAAAAAAAAUCGACAUCUUUGCUGUUUCGGGGGGGCGUUGGUCGGAAUUUGGGUAAUUUUAAAUCUUUGGUUUAAGCGACUUAAAAUUUUUUUUACGAUUCCUUGAAGUUUUCCAAGAUUUAUUUCUUUACACGUUUAGGUUAUCGAUUUUAUUAGGCUUGGUGGUAAUUUCG